UCAGCGUCGGGGCCACCAUCCUCUUCGCUCUCUCCACCGUCGCCACUGUGCUAGCCUCCACAGGCAUGGCCA
rnacentral:sRNA from 1 species